GCUGGGCACAGUGGUGCGUGCCUGUAAUCCCAGCUACUUGGGAGGCGGAGGCAGGAGAAUCGCUUGAGCCCAGGAGGCAGAGGUUGCAGUGAGCUGAGAUCGCACCACUGCAUUCCACCCUGGGCGACAGAGCGAGACUCCGUCUCAC
rnacentral:SRP_RNA from 1 species